UUUAAUAUUAUUUAGUUUUUAAUCCCUACAAAAAAUAUCUAAACAAAAUAUUCUAUAGUACAAAACUUACAAAUCAUCAAAUAAUAUUUAAUCCUUACUUAAAUAGUUUCCUUUCGUGAGGUCCAACUUCUUAAUAUUUACACUUGAGUAAUUGCAUAAUAUGUCUAUAAAAACUUAAGGCCCAAUAACCAUCCAAAAACUGCAAACAUAUCCAACUCAUCAUAUGUCUAAAGAAACUUAAGGCCCAAUAACCAUUGAAAAUUCGUGUUUUGCUCCCCAAGCAAAAUAUAUAUGUUAUCGAAAGCCGUAUUUAGAAUACAAUAACUGCGUUUCUGCGUAGCAAUUAAUUCGAAGUCCAAGCUCAAACUAACACAACUAGCCAUCCUAACAUAAUCACCUUGGAAGAAGAAUUUCCAAGGUUUCAUGUUGACUGGUGGUGGCGGUGUAGAAUGCAGACAUGAAGAAUUUGACAGUGGAGAUGAAAGAAGAUCGGAACAUGGAGAGGAAGGCGGGUACCACUCUGUUUGCUCAACAAGCGGAGAGGACGGUGGAGAGAAAUUCUGGUAAAACUGAUACGACUUUGUUUGCUCCAUAGGCGGAGUGAGCAGUGGAAAACAAGUCUGGUGAAACUGAUACGACUCGGUUAACAAAAAUUUAUGAUAAAAAAAAAAGUAAAUUAAAUUGAUAAAAAGUAAGCAAAACAUAAGAAACAAAUGGAAAAAAAAAA
rnacentral:sRNA from 1 species